UUAAAUUGAAGAGUUUGAUCAUGGCUCAGAUUGAACGCUGGCGGCAGGCCUAACACAUGCAAGUCGAACGGUAACAGGAAGCAGCUUGCUGCUUUGCUGACGAGUGGCGGACGGGUGAGUAAUGUCUGGGAAACUGCCUGAUGGAGGGGGAUAACUACUGGAAACGGUGGCUAAUACCGCAUAACGUCGCAAGACCAAAGAGGGGGACCUUCGGGCCUCUUGCCAUCAGAUGUGCCCAGAUGGGAUUAGCUUGUUGGUGAGGUAACGGCUCACCAAGGCGACGAUCCCUAGCUGGUCUGAGAGGAUGACCAGCCACACUGGAACUGAGACACGGUCCAGACUCCUACGGGAGGCAGCAGUGGGGAAUAUUGCACAAUGGGCGCAAGCCUGAUGCAGCCAUGCCGCGUGUAUGAAGAAGGCCUUCGGGUUGUAAAGUACUUUCAGCGGGGAGGAAGGUGUUGUGGUUAAUAACCACAGCAAUUGACGUUACCCGCAGAAGAAGCACCGGCUAACUCCGUGCCAGCAGCCGCGGUAAUACGGAGGGUGCAAGCGUUAAUCGGAAUUACUGGGCGUAAAGCGCACGCAGGCGGUCUGUCAAGUCGGAUGUGAAAUCCCCGGGCUCAACCUGGGAACUGCAUUCGAAACUGGCAGGCUUGAGUCUUGUAGAGGGGGGUAGAAUUCCAGGUGUAGCGGUGAAAUGCGUAGAGAUCUGGAGGAAUACCGGUGGCGAAGGCGGCCCCCUGGACAAAGACUGACGCUCAGGUGCGAAAGCGUGGGGAGCAAACAGGAUUAGAUACCCUGGUAGUCCACGCCGUAAACGAUGUCUACUUGGAGGUUGUGCCCUUGAGGCGUGGCUUCCGGAGCUAACGCGUUAAGUAGACCGCCUGGGGAGUACGGCCGCAAGGUUAAAACUCAAAUGAAUUGACGGGGGCCCGCACAAGCGGUGGAGCAUGUGGUUUAAUUCGAUGCAACGCGAAGAACCUUACCUGGUCUUGACAUCCACAGAACUUUCCAGAGAUGGAUUGGUGCCUUCGGGAACUGUGAGACAGGUGCUGCAUGGCUGUCGUCAGCUCGUGUUGUGAAAUGUUGGGUUAAGUCCCGCAACGAGCGCAACCCUUAUCCUUUGUUGCCAGCGGUCCGGCCGGGAACUCAAAGGAGACUGCCAGUGAUAAACUGGAGGAAGGUGGGGAUGACGUCAAGUCAUCAUGGCCCUUACGACCAGGGCUACACACGUGCUACAAUGGCGCAUACAAAGAGAAGCGACCUCGCGAGAGCAAGCGGACCUCAUAAAGUGCGUCGUAGUCCGGAUUGGAGUCUGCAACUCGACUCCAUGAAGUCGGAAUCGCUAGUAAUCGUGGAUCAGAAUGCCACGGUGAAUACGUUCCCGGGCCUUGUACACACCGCCCGUCACACCAUGGGAGUGGGUUGCAAAAGAAGUAGGUAGCUUAACCUUCGGGAGGGCGCUUACCACUUUGUGAUUCAUGACUGGGGUGAAGUCGUAACAAGGUAACCGUAGGGGAACCUGCGGUUGGAUCACCUCCUUACCU
rnacentral:rRNA from 3 species